CACCCAGACUCCUACGGGAGGCAGCAGUGGGGAAUAUUGGGCAAUGGGCGCAAGCCUGACCCAGCAACGCCGCGUGAAGGAAGAAGGCUUUCGGGUUGUAAACUUCUUUUAAGGGGGAAGAGCAGAAGACGGUACCCCUUGAAUAAGCCACGGCUAACUACGUGCCAGCAGCCGCGGUAAUACGUAGGUGGCAAGCGUUGUCCGGAUUUACUGGGUGUAAAGGGCGUGCAGCCGGAGAGACAAGUCAGAUGUGAAAUCCACAGGCUCAACCUGUGAACUGCAUUUGAAACUGUUUCCCUUGAGUAUCGGAGAGGUCAUCGGAAUUCCUAGUGUAGCGGUGAAAUGCGUAGAUAUUAGGAAGAACGCCAGUGGCGAAGGCGGAUGACUGGACGACAACUGACGGUGAGGCGCGAAAGCGUGGGGAGCAAACAGGAUUAGAUACCCCAGUA
rnacentral:rRNA from 1 species